rnacentral:rRNA from 1 species
UACAUGGGGUGCAAACGUUGCUCGGAAUUAUUGGGCGUAAAGCGCACGUAGGCGGCUUUUUAUGUCGGAUGUGAAAGCCCCCGGCUUAACCGGGGAAGUGCAUCCGAAACUGGAAGGCUUGAGUACGAAAGAGGGUCGCGGAAUUCCCGGUGUAGAGGUGAAAUUCGUAGAUAUCGGGAGGAACACCUGUGGCGAAGGCGGCGACCUGGGUCGAUACUGACGCUGAGGUGCGAAAGCGUGGGGAGCAAACAGG